rnacentral:lncRNA from 1 species
GGCUGUGAAAAUCUCCACGAUUCAUGGACAUUUUAGUGCAUGCGCAAAAGCGAAUUUGCCUUGGCGCUGACCAAUUCAUUGCUGGCGUCCAAAUUUUUCAUGGCCUUCUUGAGAUGAAAUAUUUCAGUUUGGAAAUGUAUUUUUUUGCUAAAAUAUACCUCUAGAUAAGUAAUUUCUCUUCAAAAAUUAAGAUGUCUAGAGAGAGAAAGUAACAAGAAGCUAGCACGUCUAAUUUUUAUCUCCCUGGCCGAAGAAUUCGCGUUGUUUGUCAUGUCUCACGGCUGCUUGCACUGGCAGUCUGACAACACUGUCACUGUGAAGGUAAUUGAAAAACUACAAUAUAUUAUUGUUAUUUAUAUUAUAAUUCAACAUAUAAUGGCCCUAUGACUGGUGCUAAUAUGCCUACAAAGUAUUUUUUUAAAGCGCUUAGUUUUGAGAAAUUAUAAUUUGAUAAUGAAAAUUUACUAGUGGGCCAUAGACUCAUAUCCAUUUUACACUGUGAACGUUGGCACUUGUUUAAGUUAUUUUGACUAAAAAUUAUCGCAUGUUAAUAAAUACUCAAGUAUAUAAUAAUACUGUAAUUUAUAGUUUAUUCCCUUGGAGCAUGCAAAGUGCCUACAUGUGGAAUAAUUUGCCUUAGAUCCACAGCUCUCAUACAGAUUAGAACUCCCAUAAAUUCUUUUACACAUCCUAGUACAUUUUACCAUUCUAAAAGUGCAUUUCCCCAUCCCCUUUCAGACAGCAGAAAUUUCAUUUGUAUUGUGAGUUUAUAUUGUGCACUGAAUGGUGAAUCAGUAAAACUAAAAGAUUGCCAACCAGUUUAGAGAUAGUUUUGUUCAAAUGUAACUUAUGUCAUAAGUAUGUUUCUCCCUCAAUUAGAAAUAAAUCUACCGUUAAUAAAUUAAUUGGAUAGAUUUAGUGUAACAUAUAGAUUUAGGUUUCCAGUUUGUGAAAUGAAAUGCAAAUCAAUUGUAUUAUAUUUUAGAUAUUCAUGCUUCUCAAAUUUCAAUAUGGAUAAAACAAGAACUGUCAAGAAGACUGCAACUGUAUAUGUACAACUUAAUGGGGAUGGGAAUGCUGUUAGUCUUCGCAUCUAGGAAUGUUGCUAAUAUGAGAUUAUUAAGAAAACCGCAAAGUCAACAACUAUCCUAGAUUCCAUAAUAUUAGGAAGCUGGCUCAACUAUACUUAAUAUUCCGGUAAUACUCAAGAAAGCGACAUGGCAAUUCAACAAUGCAUAUACAACAGAACAAGAUAUUUCCAUACCAAGACAAUUCUUACUGAAUUAGUAUUUAGCUGAUAUUUCAUUUUUUACAGUAUUUAAAGUUAUAUACAGUGCUGUUUUAAGUUAAAUAACAAAGUUACUUGGUUCAAAAUCUGGUCUUUGUUUUUCCUUCUCUGUACUGUGCAAGGGUAAAGAAAAGAGGUGGUAAUAUGCAUCCUCACAUGUGGCUGAUAGGAACUCUCACUCAUAUGGAAAAUGAAUUGGGUCGUUCCAGAAAAGAUCCAUACUCCCCCCAUGGAGGAAAUUUCUGCCAUCUGGAGGGGGAGGGGAGAAAAAAUUGUUUCUGAUAAUAGUAAAUGUAUUAGGACAUCUGAAGGGGGUUAACUUCCUAUUUCCUCUGUGGGGGUGGUAUGGAUGUUUUCUGGAAUGACCCAUUCUCAUAAAGUAAGCCUUGGAGCUUUUUUGAAAUCGAUUUCAUUCAUGCUUCAACAACCGAUCCCCUGCAUGUACAUCAUUGCAAAAUGUGCAGCCAGCCUGCAAUGUCCAAACCACAGUUGUCCACAACAUUUGUUCUCAUUGAGCUGUCCAUUGAUGAGGAAGUGUAGUGUGGAGACAAACAAUUUUGAUUUGGCUGCAUUUAUUUAAACACUUGCUUUAUUAUACCUUCCCUCACUGAUUCAAUAGUUGCUAAUGUAAAUUUGUACUAGCUCUGCAGGACAGAUGUGUUCAAUUUUUCCUAUAUGGUAUGGAAUAAAGAUCAUGCUGUUAGUGUUACAUGCAUGCAAAUGGUAAUUCACAAUGAUGUAAAGGCUAAUGAAAUUCAAUUAUGGGUUGUCCAAAACUACCAACAUUUCCUGAAGUGUACAAACUAUAUGCUUCAGGUAGGCGGGUUCAUAACCAAUAUUCAUCGGUUAAGUCGCUGGGGGAGGGGGUUGAAAAGUGUACUCUCUGUACACCUGUGAUAAUUAUGGAUGAUUUACAGUGUAACACUAAUGCUAGAUUUAACUGAAAAUAAUUUUAUAGUUAUGUUGAAUAUAUUUUAAAUGUUCCAUUUGUGGCAUCCAUUCUUGGUGGUCAG